ACUAUUUUGUCAGAUUAAUGUAAUAAAUUUAGAAUUUAUUUAUGUAUAUGUUAUAUACAAUUAGUA
rnacentral:tRNA from 1 species